CAGCACAUCCUGAGACAUUAAAAAGCUGACUGAUGUUGAAAGAGUUUGAAAUUCUAAGUUGUGGAGCCUAAUGUGACUUUGCAUAGCUGAAGCGAAACACCAGCGUGGCCAACUUAUAAAUUGUUUGUAAUAUAAAGCAAGUUUAUUUGCUUGUAUUUUUUUUUUAUAAUAGUGUACUUUUAAGAUUUUUAAAAAUCAAAACCAAGUUAAUUAGCUUGUCUUAUUGACCCACCAUCUCAAGAUUUGACAAUGAAGGAAGAGAUUGCAGCAACAGUGUUUUUUAUUGCAAGACUAGCAAAGAAACAUGGUAAACUGGAUCGCGUUCGGAGGGAGAAAUUUGCUGUGGAACUAACUUCAGUGCUCUUUGAGAGCUACAAAAGUCAUUGGUACCCAGAAAAACCAACCAAAGGACAAGCUUUUAGGUGUUUAAGGAUGAACAAAGCUCAAAUGAGAGACCCAGUUAUUGAACGUGCUUGUUGCCAGAGUGACAUUGUUUAUGAAGAUCUUGGAUUACCAAAGGAAAUGACCAUUUGGGUUGAUCCAGGAGAGGUGUCAUGCCGGUAUGGUGAAAAGUCAACCCCAUUUUGUGUUACUCAGUUUGAGGGUCAAAAGAGAGAUGGGGAGUUCUCCCGUAGGAUAAAUAAUGCUGUGGAAAGGGCUUCAUCGGAUUACCACUCUGGAACCUCCUCUGAUGAGGAGGGAGGAAACACCAGCAUGAGCAGUACCAUGAGCAGCACCGCGAGUAGCAGCAAUAGCAGCAGUCUUUCCGUUCCAGAGCCCAAAUGCAUUCCGACAGUCUCCAAUCCAAACAGUGUAUACCAGGAGCAUCAAUAAAGAUUGAGCUGGACUAGGACCUGGGACCAUGAGCAGCACAGCGAGUAGCAGCAAUAGCAGCACUCUUUCCGUUCCAGAGCCCGAAUGCAUUCCGACAGUCUCCAAUCCAAACAGUGUAUACCAGUUCAGUGAGUUUAGGCAGCCCCCUCCCAUGCAAAACUGGGGGACAUACCCUAAAAGAAAACCAUACGUUGCUGAUGGCUACCAGCAGCAUUCUUCAGGAGGACCAUACCCACCUCAUAAGAGUUUUAAGGGCUACAGGCCCUCCUAUGCUUUCUCUGGCCCAAGGGUGGAUCGAUAUCACUGGGUCAGCAAGAACCGCUCUUAGACUUUCAUUUUAAAACCAAAGUGUAUCAUUUUGUUGAUCAGCUAUGCAGGCAUAUGUGAGUGUUAUUGAAUAACUUAAAUGUAAUGAUUUAAUAAUUUAUGGAGUCAUGUGGCAAUGCCAUGAAUGCACUUUUAAAGUUAAUUUUAUUAAAUGGUUUUUGUGGAGUUGAAAAGACUUUCUAAAUAAAAUCUAUUUUAAUAAAACUUG